GGCGUCAUAGCUCAGCUGGGAGAGCAGCAGACUGAAGAAAUCACGUGACUUUGGGAUCUGAAGGUCCCGUGUUCAAUCCACGGUGAUGCCA